UACAGAGGUCCCAAGCGUUGUUCGGAUUCACUGGGCGUAAAGGGUGCGUAGGUGGCCGGGUAAGUCUGACGUGAAAUCUCCGAGCCUAACUCGGAAACUGCAUCGGAUACUAUCCGGCUUGAGGGUUGGAGGGGGGACUGGAAUUUACGGUGUAGCGGUGAAAUGCGUAGAUAUCGUAAGGAAGACCAGUGGCGAAGGCGGGUCUCUGGGCCGAUACUGACGCUGAGGAGCGAAAGCGUGGGGAGCGAACAGG
rnacentral:rRNA from 1 species